AUGGCGAGGGCAUUCUUACCCUCCGGCCUCGUGGCGGUGGUCGCGCUCGCGUGCCUCGCCGACGCCGCGGCCGCGCAGCUGCGGCAGAACUACUACGCCAGCAGCUGCCCCAGCGCCGAGUCCACCGUGCGCUCCGUCAUCUCGCAGCACGUCCAGCAGAGCUUCGCCGUCGCGCCCGGCACGCUCCGCCUCUUCUUUCACGACUGCUUCGUCCGGGGGUGCGACGCGUCGGUGAUGCUGAUGGCGGCGAACGGGGACGACGAGAGCCACAGCGGCGCGGACGCCACGCUGUCGCCGGACGCCGUGGAGGCCAUCAACAAGGCCAAGGCCGCCGUCGAGGCGCUCCCCGGGUGCGCCGGCAAGGUCUCCUGCGCCGACAUCCUCGCCAUGGCCGCGCGCGACGUCGUCUCCCUGACCGGCGGGCCGAGCUACGGCGUGGAGCUGGGCCGGCUGGACGGCAGGUCGUUCAGCAAGUCGAUCGUGAAGCACGUCCUCCCGGGCCCCGGCUUCGACCUCAACCAGCUCAACGCGCUCUUCGCCAGCAACGGCCUCACCCAGUUCGACAUGAUCGCGCUCUCCGGUGCGCACACGAUCGGGGUGACGCACUGCGACAAGUUCGUGCGUCGGAUCUACACGUUCAAGCAGCGGCUGCGGUACAACCCGCCGAUGAACCUCGACUUCCUGCGGUCGCUGCGCAAGGUGUGCCCCAUGAACUACCCGCCCACGGCGUUCGCCAUGCUGGACGUGACCACGCCCAAGACCUUCGACAACGCCUACUUCGACAACCUCCGGUACCAGAAGGGCCUGCUCGCCUCCGACCAGGUGCUCUUCACCGACCGCCGCUCCCGCCCCACCGUCAACCUCUUCGCCGCCAACUCCACCGCCUUCUUCGACGCCUUCGUCGCCGCCAUGGCCAAGCUCGGCCGCAUCGGGGUCAAGACCGGCUCCGCGGGCGAGGUGCGCCGGGUCUGCACCGCCGUCAACUAG
rnacentral:rRNA from 1 species